GACGAACGCUGGCGGCGUGCUUAACACAUGCAAGUCGAACGGAAAGGCCCUGCUUUUGUGGGGUGCUCGAGUGGCGAACGGGUGAGUAACACGUGAGUAACCUGCUCUUGACUUUGGGAUAACUUCAGGAAACUGGGGCUAAUACCGGAUAGGAGCUCCCGCUGCAUGGUGGGGGUUGGAAAGUUUCGGCGGUUGGGGAUGGACUGGCGGCUUAUCAGCUUGUUGGUGGGGUAGUGGCUUACCAAGGCUUUGACGGGUAGCCGGCCUGAGAGGGUGACCGGCCACAUUGGGACUGAGAUACGGACCAGACUCCUACGGGAGGCAGCAGUGGGGAAUAUUGCACAAUGGGCGGAAGCCUGAUGCAGCAACGCCGCGUGCGGGAUGACGGCCUGCGGGUUGUAAACCGCUUUCGCCUGUGACGAAGCGUGAGUGACGGUAAUGGGUAAAGAAGCACCGGCUAACUACGUG
rnacentral:rRNA from 1 species